rnacentral:lncRNA from 1 species
AUAUAAUUCCACAUCAAUUAUUAUUAUUUUAUAUAUAUAUUAUUUAAUUAAGUUCAACAUUGUCAAAUCAUUUGGAGAUCCACCGAUACCCACAAUUUGUCUUCUCUUCCUUUCUCCGCGUCGACCACCACCUCCAUUUCCCUCUCCGCGACGAUUCGACCCACCGCCGAUGCCACCUCCAUUUUCCCCUCCCUCUGCCGGCGAUUCGACUCACCGGCCGCAGCCGCGAUCUGCCACCUUUUGCCGCCCGCUAGAGAUCUUCUCUUCCACCUUCUCCGAUGCCACCCCCAUUUUUCCCUCCCUUCCCCGGCGAUCCGACUCACCGGUCGCAUUCCACCGCGAUUCGCCGCGAUGAGAUCUGCCACUUCCACAGUUCCACCUUCUGAUUCGACCAGAACCUGCCGCCCCUCACAAUCGCCGGAAGAAAGAAGAAGAAUUCACAGAAUCCCUCUUUUCGUAUCUGCAGAUUUG